GACGAACGCUGGCGGCGUGCUUAACACAUGCAAGUCGAGCGGUAAGGCCCUUUCGGGGGUACACGAGCGGCGAACGGGUGAGUAACACGUGGGUGACCUGCCCUUAGCUCUGGGAUAAGCCUGGGAAACUGGGUCUAAUACCGGAUAUGACUCCAUAACGCAUGUUGUGGGGUGGAAAGCCUUGUGCGGCUAGGGAUGGGCCCGCGGCCUAUCAGCUUGUUGGUGGGGUGAUGGCCACCAAGGCGACGACGGGUAGCCGGCCUGAGAGGGCGACCGGCCACACUGGGACUGAGACACGGCCCAGACUCCUACGGGAGGCAGCAGUGGGGAAUCUUGCGCAAUGGGCGAAAGCCUGACGCAGCGACGCCGCGUGGGGAUGAC
rnacentral:rRNA from 1 species